CAGACUGAUGUCGUUUUUGAGUUUGUCUGUUUAACGCUUUUUCUUUCAGAUUGGUUUUUCUGUUUCCAGCUGCUUUUUAAGUUCUACAUGGCCGCUCUCAACCGUAAGUUUUAUCUUUGUUCUUAUCAACUCAAGUCAUUAACGCUCCGAUAAUUCCCGUCUAUUGAUCCGCACGUGUCACGAUUAUCUAAUCACUGGUAGACAGUGCUUCUCGUUUAUCCGUAUAUACGUAGUGUAUCUCUAAUUACAACCAACUGCAUACAGGGUGCUGUAGUAUCUCUGCAUUUUUUCUUCGCUAUGUCUAUUACUUCUAAAACCAAGGAUACCUCUCCAUACCUAUCUAACAUUUUUACUCGUUCAAAAAAACAGCAACUGACUGCAAACUCCUCUAACAGUGAUUUACUAGCUGUUAUUUGCAACUUACAGUUUUCACAGACCGAUAUUUUAAGUUAUAAUAAUAUCUUGGCUGAAUCUUUCUUAGCUCAAUUUUCC